CCAGAAUACCCAGAAAGUGUUGCAAAAGAAAAGAGAGUAUGCAGUGUUGUGAGAAGCGAAUCAGGGUACUGACUCGUGCGCGUGGACAGGGUUUGACCGAUCAGGUUACAGUUAGCGACAUGCAGAGGAACUCUGACCUAGGGCUGUGUCGUAGGGCAGUGACGCGUGUUGUGCCUGACGGUGACAUUCCGAGCGACGCGGCGAGCAUGGAGAGAUGGUGUAGCAUGAUAGGAGAUAGGACCUCUCCUCAAGAUGGGAACUCCCCUCAAGGAGGGAAAAGUGUGUCAAGCCUGUUCGAAGGGCUGGGCAGUCAGGUGUUGGCGAACGCAGAACCAACCACGAGUGGAACGCACACGCUAGAAAAGGAGUAAAUUACGGUCAGUUUAUUUUAUGGCUGCUAUACAGGGAUGACGUCACAGCCAAAAGAAGUGACGGUGUCGUCUCACAGUACAGACAGUGUGUACGUCACACGGCGCGGUAUCUCCCGCAAACAGAAUGAAGAGAAUCUUGUGAGUUAUACAUUGCUACCUGGCCGUAUACAGACAACAUUCGGACUGCUGAGAUCGUCUUUACGUUCAGAAACACGUAUGGCGUAGUAAGAGGAUUGAAGAAAGAUGUUCUGUGCAAACUGCGGGUGUGCCCAAUCAAUCUGGGGGGUGACGGCGCCAGUAGUGUGGAACUGCUUAUUACACUGGGGGGCCUGAUACGCUACGACACAACGAAAACGGACAUUCUCGCAGGUGUCGGUCGACAGGGCGGCUCAUUGUGGCACUGUAAUUCUUCUUCUCACUUCUUAUCUACUGUUGUACAUUAAAAAAACAGCUACAGAAGAUAGAGUUUAUGCUCCUGCAACCAAAGUAAUAUCUUUAAUCCUUCACACACGUGCUUUGGCUCUAGCUAGGUUUUAAACCUCAAACAAUGAAACUGUUGUUGUGUGAAACACAAUGCUUUCUCAACCAGGAGCCUGUUGGAUGUAGCCUUGGUAUUUGACAUUCAAGACAGCACCGCAUCUUGGUGCCAACAAAGUCCGUGAGGACGCUUGGGUCAAAGGUGGAGCGAACUGUAGGCUACAUUUGAGACAAAGCUCUGUGACUAUUGUUUUCUACUGACCAGUGGUGUGUGUGUGCUUCAGUGCAUGCGAAUGUGCGUUCUGGUCAUUAUUCCAUUUAGCCCUAUUUUAAUUUUUUAAGGCUUUAAUGAGAUCACAUAUUCUGUAUUUUUCGAAUAAAAUCUUUUUUAACGUUUUUUUCUUUCACAUUGACUUUUUGUGUUUGAGACUGUUAGUCUAUAAAAUGUCAGAGUUGAAAAUACACUGUAUGUAGAUUUUAAAAAAUAAUAUUAUUGCUAUUACUAACGUUAUUGAUGUUGAGAAUUUUACUAGUAGCUAAUUCAAUCCUUUACUGAUCAAGUAAUCAAAAAAGUGAUUUAUUUACCAAAUUUCAGUAUGACAAUAAAUGUUUGUUAUCUUUGAAUAUUCUCGAGUGGAGAAGUUAGGAUGGUAAGAAAUUAAUUGACGUGGGAGCAAGUCUUGAUUAACAUUUCAUCAGUAAACAUAUACAACAAAACGUAUUACAACAGGAUCAUCAACCGAUUCUUGACUUUAUGAAGCAGUUCAUGAGUCAUUGGCCUCUCUAUAGCAUACUGUCAUUGGUCUUAGAAAGCAUGCUAAGUGUCACUGGAAUCUAUAAAGCAUGUGUUACUUUUGUUUAUAUGGAAUGAAAGACAUUACUUUUGCUGAACAUUAUUGUUUCAUUCUUUGUUGCAGAGAAUAAGAAAUUCUUAGAUACUGAUGUAAAUAUUUUAGUCAUCUAGAGUAAUUUGUCCUCUAGCAGGGAUAUGGUCUUUAUUUGCAACAAGAAAAACAUAUUGCAGUUAUCGUGGCAUCAAUUUCAAUAAAUCAAAAGCAUCAGGAAGCCAAAAAACAUUCGAUCCAAAAAGUUUACUUUUAUUAGGUCUAUGUGAAGCUAAUCGCUUUGUAAACAAUGAAAUGCUAGGAGAAAUGCUCGCUCCAGCCAGAGAAUCAAUCAUUACAACUAGCUGGAAUA
rnacentral:misc_RNA from 1 species